GUCUACGGCCCUGCCACCCUGAACGCGCCCGAUCCCGUCUGAUCUCGACGGCCCGAUCCCGUCUGAUCUCGGAAGCUUAGCAGGGUCGGGCCUGGUUAGUACUUGGAUGGGAGACCACCCAGGACGACCAGGCGCUGUAGGCG
rnacentral:rRNA from 1 species